GACGUAGGAUGCGAGCGUUGUUCGGAUUUAUUGGGCGUAAAGCGUGCGUAGGCGGUUAUUCAAGUCUGGUGUUAAAGCUAGGGGCUCAACCCCUGUGAUGCACUGGAAACUGGGUGACUUGAGUGCGGUAGGGGAAGGUGGAAUUCCGAGUGUAGCAGUGAAAUGCGUAGAGAUGUGGAGGAACACCGAUGGCGAAGGCAGCCCCCUGGGUCAAGAUUGACGCUCAUGCACGAAAGCGUGGGGAGCAAACAGG
rnacentral:rRNA from 1 species